UACGUAGGGUGCGAGCGUUAAUCGGAAUUACUGGGCGUAAAGCGUGCGCAGGCGGUUAUUUAAGUCAGGUGUGAAAGCCCUGGGCUUAACCUAGGAAUUGCGCUUGAGACUGGAUAGCUUGGAGUGCGGCAGAGGGAGGUGGAAUUCCACGUGUAGCAGUGAAAUGCGUAGAGAUGUGGAGGAACACCGAUGGCGAAGGCAGCCUCCUGGGCCAGCACUGACGCUCAUGCACGAAAGCGUGGGGAGCAA
rnacentral:rRNA from 1 species